UUAUUUGGGUUUAAAUAUUAAUAUUUGAUUAUAAUCGUAUUGUCAUUAAUUGCUAGAUAUCUCAAUAGUAUUAUUUUGGAGUGCGCUACUGAGAUUAUAUAACAAUUUUCUGGGGUACACUGCUAAGAUUCUACUAUAUGAAUUGGAGGUAUUGCUGACAAAAAAUUUAUUAUUGUAAUUAAUUAUUGAUAUUUAUAAUCCAUAAAUAAUCUCAUUAGGAGGGCACUCCUAAAUUGUACUAAUAUUUAUUGAAUACACCUCCAAGAUAUUCUAAUGAACAAAAUAUCUAAUGGAGGGGAGAGAACGCCAAACUUUUGUGUCGGUCUUUAUUAUUAUUAAUUAAAGAAAAUCAGUCGGGAGAAGGGAAGGUUAUAAAUUAAUGGGAUUGCAGGGAAUGAAAAACUAAAGUUUAAAUUCCUUAGUACAGUGUACUGACAGAAUACUAAGGGAACAGCUUAAGGAGGUUACUUUGUUAGCAAAGGGAAGUAAGGGGUGGAUUGUUGUUUUAAGCAUUGUUUAGAAGCUAGAUAAGCCAGGUUUACAGUUUCAGAUGGUCAUGCUUCUCCUGGAUUGAUUAAUUAAUAUGCGUAAUGUCCUAGGAGGAGGGGUUGCAUAGGGGAUAUAAGCUGAUAAACACCAUGCAAUGGCAGAAAAAUAAUUUUGUCUUUACGAUAAGAGGUGUGAUAGAGGGAAUUCCUGUAAAUAUAGGCAUGUUUGUAGAUAUUGUAACGGAAGUCACUCUGGUGUGGAUUGUAAAAGGGGCAACGUGAAUAGGCCCAGGUAUUCCUUUCAAGGGCAGGGUAAUACCAGUAGUGGAGUUGGAUUGGGGGUUGGCCAAAACACCACUGAAGAUAGAUAGGUUGUUACAAGAACUACUGGCAUAUGAGAACAUAGAGGAUAGAAAAUUUCUAGAGCAUAGUUUGUCUGAGGGUUUUGUGGUACCAGUUUGCUGCAAGAGAAAUUGGACAAGGAGGUAAAAUUAGGGAGGAUGGCAGGCACAUUUAAAGAAAAAACGAUUGAGGAUUUAGUAGGGCAAGUACAGGAUGAUCCAACACCUAUCUUACCCCAGGGGAGGGUCAAUAAAUGAUGCAAUAGCUAAAAAGGAUUCAUUUGUUGAAUACCAGUCUUUUGACAGGGCAGUGCAUAUGGUGCGGGCUUUGGGUAAGGGAGCUUUGUUAUUAAAAAUUUACAUAGAUUCAGCAUUUCGUUUGUUGCCCCUUAACCCAGAGAGUUUUAAAUUAAGGGGUUGCAAGUUUUAAUGGCAACUAUUAUGUUGAUAAAAGUUUACCCAUAGGGUGUUCAAUUUCAUUUAGUUCUUUUUUGCAUUGGUUAAGCAUUAAGAAGUCUGGUAUGGGCAAUGUUGUUCACUAUUUAGAUGAAUUUUUUUUUGUGGAUGGGCUUAGCGGGAGCUAACGAUUGUGAAAGGUUAAAGGUGAAUUAUUUGCAAAUGUUGGAAAAUUUUGGGAGUACCGGUAGCUAUGGAGAAGACAGAGGGGCCUUGUACCAAGCUAGUCUUGCUAGGUAUAGUCAUAGAUUCCAUGAAGGGCCAAUGCGAGUUACCAGAGGAGAAGGGGAAAAAGGCCAGGGAUCUGAUAAGGGAAAUUGUAGGGAGUUGAAAAAUAUCGCUCAGGGAAAUGGAGAAAGUCCUAGGAAUUUUUUAACUUUGCGUGUAAGGUUAUACGAGUGGGCAGAGUAUUUAAGAGAAGAUUGGAGUUGAGUACCUGUGGAAUAAAGAAGCCAGAACAUAGAAUCAGAAUAACCAAAUAAUUGAAGGAAGAUCUCAAAGUGUGGGAUUCAUUCUUGAUCCAGUUUAAUGGGGUGAGGAUUUGGGAGAAGGAAAUUCUAUCGGAGGAGCUUGAGUUUUUUAUGGAAAGGGGGAAAGUGGUGCGCAGGAGGGUGACCAGAAAGAUGGAAGGAGAUGGAUUGGGUUAAGAACUUGGAACUGCUGGAGCUAUUCCCCUUAGUGGUAGCAAUAGACUUAUGGGGCGAGGAGUUGGCAAAUAGAAAUUUAAUCUGUUGGUCGGACAACAGGGGAGUGGUAGAGGUCAUCAACCUUCUAUCGGCAUCAUCGCUACCAGUAAUUAGGUACUUAAGGUAUUUGGGUCUGAAAUGUUUAAAGCAUAACAUCUGUAUCAGGGCCAAACAUAUUCCGGGUUUCAGAAAUGUAGUGGCGGACACGCUAUCCCGUUUUAAAUGGGAGAAGUUUAGGGUCUAGCCCCCAAUGCCAGACAAGAAGGUGAAUGUUGCCCUGGACUUCUUUGGCAGAUUGGCAACGGAUAGACGGAAUCAAGGAACUCGUCGAAGGCCCUGGCACCAAGUAAAUGGGCGGUUUACAGAAAAUAUGGGGAACUAUGGUGCAAGUAUAGGAAGGGGACACGAGAAGGGGAGGAAGGAAGAUUCCUAGAAAGGUUGAUGGAGCUAAGGAGAGAAGGGGUUAAAAAAGAGCGGUUAGGAUCAGUGCUAGCGGGGAUAGCAUAUUGCACGCAGCUAUAUGGUGGAAUAGAUUGGACUAAGAAGUUCAUAGUGAAAAAGAUUGUGGGGGCAUGGGGGAGAGAUGAGGAGAAGGUAACAGAUAGGAGGCUACCAGUAACAGAAGAUGGAUUGGAAAGAAUGGUAGGGGUAUUGUCAGGGGUUUGCGCAAGCACAGAUGAGGUGAUAAUUUUCAGGACAGCAUUCAUAGUGGCUUUCCACAGAGCAAUGAGGAUAGGGGAGCUGCUGCCAAAAAGCAGGAAGGUAGGAAAAGGGGGAGUAGAAACAGGGGACGUGAGAUGCGGGGAGGAAGCAGUGCUGGUAUUUGUAAGACGAUCCAAGACAGAUACAGAAGGAAAAGGGGCAUGGUUGAAUAUGGUAGGGACAGGAGGGACACUGUGCCCGGUGGCCUGUGUGAAAAGUUAUCUAGCAACUCAAAGGGGCAAAGGGCGAACAUUCCUGCGGCAUGCGGAUGGGUCGGAGGUAACAAACUUUCAAUUCAAGAGCGUACUGCAGAGGGUGGUGAGGAAGCUAGGGUGGGGGAGUGCAUACUUUGCACCACACUCCUUUAGAAUAGGUGCGGCAACCGCUGCAGAGAGAAGAGGCGGUUCAGAGGAACAGAUAAAAAACUGGGGAGAUGGAAAUCGGCAGCCUAUAAGUCAUACAUUAGGAUGCGAGAAAGUAAGGCAGGAGGGAUAUAGAUAAGAUGGUAUUAUUAUUGCUGUGUUGGUUUGGUUUGCGGCGAGGUUUGGAAAAGCACAGAUGAAUAGUUACUAACGUGUGAAAUUUGUUUUAUUACAGGCAAAACAUUAAGAGUCUGGAUAGUGGGGCAUUCCUACGUUUAUUGGGCGCAGGCUAGGCCAGCAGCGUCAGGGCAAGGGGUACACAUAGGUUUUAUGCAUAAGGAAGCUAGCAUCAUAUGGAUAGGCAAAAGAGGGAUAAGGUGGGAUGAGUUAGUGCCAACAGUACAGCAGGCAAGGUUAAGAUAGGGAUGUCCUGAUGCCCUGAUUAUACACCUCAGGGAAAACAAUAUAGGAGCAUACCCGCUCAGAGAGCCGGAAGAGAAAGUGGCAGAAGGAAUGAGAUGGUUAAAGGUAGCAGGGCCAUCAGUGCUGGUGAUACGGUCCAACAUAGUGUCAAGCUUGUACUGAAGGAACUCGUAUACGAGUAAGUAUAGAUCAAGGAGAAAGGUGAAUCAGGUAGCAGCGAAGGUAAUGAAGGAGAUAGGGGGCGGAGUAGUAGAGCACCCAUUGAUAGCAGCCAAAAAGGAGGAGCUGCUCAGACGGGAUGGAGUACACCUCAUGGAUGAGGGGAAUGACCACAUGCUGGCGGACAUCAGAGGGAUGUGCCAAGAGCUGGUGGAGACGCAGCAGAGCACGAUGCAAUAACCGGAGAGGUCACGUGAGAAGGCAAUACUUGCACGGCUAAGGGCAGGACGUUGACUAAUUGGUUGAGUCGCAGUAAGACCGCCCGUGCUCCUCAAUAAGGGGAAGAACACAGCGCAACCGAAGGGCAGCAGGUGACCUGGCGGUCUACGCUGACUGGAGGAUAGAAAACGGCAGCUGUUUUUGACAUAGUAUUGAGCAUACAAUCGCAGCAAGCAGUGAAGUUUGUGCACGACACGUGGGCGGGGCAGAAGGGGAGGUGGGAGGAUCCCGCGGCAUACCCAGCCCUGUGGGGUGAUCCGGUGGUCUAUCUAGUGGGGGGCUGUGCCGUGGGUUCUCCCUUCUCCAAGCUGCCCUGCCAGGGGGGGGGGGGGUAGUUGUUACACCCCCCUAGGCGUGGUUCCCAAAAUUCUGGUUUUAAUGCAAGGGCAUUAUUUGGUGUUUUAUUGAGUUGAUUUAUGGCUGAAUUUUGCAAGAUAUAGUUAAAGGUGGCAAAAUUCAAUUAAGUAAUAAAAUCGUGACCUUUCCACAUUUCGCCAUAA